GUGUCCAGGGAUGGGAAUCGAACCCACAUUGUUCCGCUUACCGGGCAGAUGCCAUGACCAGGGUAGCCUAGUGGACA